rnacentral:lncRNA from 1 species
GUGAAAACUAAAAUUUAAAUAAAUUGGAAAAGAUACAAACUCACAAUCCAAAAAAUACAACACGCAUUAUCCAUUUAUAAAAACAACAAAUACGAUAUUGUUUGACAAUUGAAGAGGUUAGUAUGAGGUUUCUUAGAGUUCUAAAUUAAAAGAUUCUUAUAACAUUUGAAAGACUAGGAAUGAUCAACCAAUAUUCAUAAGUAAGGUCUUCAUGGCUUUCAUCAACCUAGUGGUUAUUUGUUACCUACAAAACCAUGAAAAAGAAUAUUCUUUGUCAGAUUAUAUUACGUAGCAGUAAAUGAUAAACAAACUCCCAUAGUUUCAUAUCCAACUUCGCCUAUUCAUAUCCAUCAAUUAGUUUCAGUAAGUAAUUUCUAGUGAUUAAACUUAGCACAUUCUUAUCACAAUUUAGAAUAAAAAAAACAAUGUUAACAAGAUAAUGCAGUAGCUUUGCAAGGAGUUGAAUUUAAUUCCGGUUAAAAUUCUUUGAUUCAACCUGCCAGACAACAUAAAGUCAAAGUAGAGAAGUAAAAUAGGCAAAAAAUGGAUAACGUAACAAAACAAUUAUUCACUAUAAAUUGUAAAGUUCUGUAAAUUUUUAAUAGCAUAUGCAUCGAUACUGAAAUUCGGAUUACUGAUCUUCAGAAAAGAGCUACCAAGUCACAAAGUAGUACCAAACCUUUUUAGGAAGUUAAAAAUCCCCGACCAUAAUGUCCACAAAAUGCUCCUUUCAGUAUUAUUUUCUAUUAGGCUCCACAUAACUGUAACUAGGAUUUAGGAACAAGAAAAUCUCUUUUGAACUAAAAUUGACAGAUCAUUCCUGACAAAUCAAUUACAAAUCAGAAAAUAAAUAUGAUAUGAGAAGAUAUCUAAGCUCAAUCAAACAUAUGGAUGAAGUGAAAAGGUAAAUCACACCAUUUCUAGGCCACUACAAUAGCUACUAACAUUCUAGUAGACAUGUGAAUAUCUUGUAAGUUGUCUAAUCUUCAAAAGUUGAAGAGCACAAAGUAUAUAUUAGCACUUUUGCAUCUCUUAUGACAUAAGAAUCCUGUAACCGCAGAUUCACCAUAAAUUUGCAAUUGUAAGCACUUACUUGAAGGAAAAUGCAUACUAUGUUGGAAGAGGAUUGCAAUUAAUAUUUGGAGAGAGGCUUUUAGGCUAAGGGAAUUUUGGAAGAGUAGAAAGAUUUUGGAGNNNN